ensembl:lncRNA
AAGUGACGAACAAAAAUAUUCCUACAGCAUUGUAGGAAUAGAGGUGUAUAGCAGUAGGCAAGAUUCUUUUUACUAAAAGUUAUUUCGAGCAAACAGCUUCCAAAACAUGUUUUCUAGAACUCAAAUACUAUGUUUACUUGUUGGGAAAACACCAUCAUAUGUCUCCUUUAAAUACAGGGUAACCCUCAGUAUGAAAUGCAUUUCAAUCACUUUAAUGUUUCCCGCUUUAAGUAAACGACUAGUAGCCCCUACACUGAAGGUUUUUCUAUUGAUUAAAAUCAAUGAAGAGAUUCUCUAUAUUUGAGAGAUAUAGUUGCACCGGAGUCAUGUCAUUUAUGUUCAGAGUUAGAGUCUGAAAGCUUUGCAACAAUGGAGCGGUGAGGGUUAGUUCCUUUUCUUUGCGGGACGGUGGGGGGAAGCUUGACUCCUCAAAUACUAUGUUUACUUGUUGGGAAAACACCAUAAUAUGUCUCCUUUAAAUACAGGGUAACCCUCAGUAUGAAAUGCAUUUCAAUCACUUUAAUGUUUCCCGCUUUAAGUAAACGACUAGUAGCCCCUACACUGAAGGUUUUUCUAUUGAUUAAAAUCAAUGAAGAUAAUAUAUAAUAUACAACUCAUAGAUGUAUGAUUUUAUUUGCUGUUGAAACAAGUGACGAACAAAAAUAUUCCUACAGCAUUGCAUCACAGGGCUAUACUCUUGCUUUUGGAUGCAACACUAUAACACCAUUUAUCGCUAGAGGGCAUUACAUCUUAAAUGCUUUUUUUUUUCUCAAGGCAAGCCACAAAAGAUAAGAUGCAGUCUCUAGACCACCACUCCAACUCUUUCACACUGCAGUCAGUUCCAAAAUGGGUGCAAGUCGCUUAGCCGUCUCUACCGUCUUCUUCCUUUCCCUCACACUUUCCAGUAGCCGAGCUGUGAAGAGCAGUUGCAUCCAAUGGAGAAAACCUGGUGAAUCUGUAAAAAUUAGCUGCAGUCCAACAUCAAAAGAAGAUCAUUUGUAUUUGUAUAAGUUUUGCGAGAGUUUCCCUGUUCUCCAAUGGGACCUAAAAGAUACAUUUACCAUUAAAGCUGGAUGGGAGCCAAGAGUCAAGACAGAAGUGACAGAGACCAAAGGACUAAUCAUCACAAUAGCCAACCUGACAGCAGAAGACACAGGUUACUACAACUGUCAGUACAAGGUGUUAAAAGAUUUCAAUUUGGUCGUGACGAGUGGAGCCGGCUCUGUUCUCCUGGUGGUUCAUGUUUUUGAUCAAAUAGAUGCAGUUGAAACCUUCCCCUUGAUCCUAGUAGUUGUGCUGUGCGUUGUCAUCCUGCUACUUCUCUCUGUUCUGGUGACGAUGUGGAUUCUUCGAACGGUGAAGUCCAUGCACAUUAAUGCUGUGAGGCCUGUCCAGCGAGCCCACCCCAGCGACGUCUACGAGGACAUGAGGAGCACCUGCAGGCGUUAGGCCCAUCUGCUUCCUAUCUUCCCAUCAUUGUGGAGCUCUCUAGAAUGAUUGCCUGGGGGAAAUUGAUUGAAUGUGUGCUAUGUCAUAAAUGGGUGCAAUGCCAUUAAUGAGGAGGGACCCCCCCCCCUCUUUAUUUUCUCCCUGUUACUUCUGGGGUCCAAUCAGUUUAGUGAAAAAAGUUUGAAAUAACUUGGGUGGCGCUUGGUGUCAGACCAGGCAGAUAGGGCCCUUAUAAUUAAAAAGGUUAAAAAACUGCUUAACUUCUAAUUUGCAAGAUAUCUGGGGAAGCAGAAGAACAAUGUAUACAGUACAAAUUAGUUGUUCAGAAAUGUAUUCACUGAGGUCGUUUGAUAGCCAACAUGCCUGAUGUGCACACAGUAGGUAGUGGUUUGAAAAAGCUCAGGCUGUCAAAAGGUUCUUGGUGUGAACUAAACUAGUUGAGGGUAUUCUCUUGACUAGAUUCUCUAUAUUUGAGAGAUAUAGUUGCACCGGAGUCAUGUCAUUUAUGUUCAGAGUUAGAGUCUGAAAGCUUUGCAACAAUGGAGCGGCGAGGGUUAGUUCCUUUUCUUUGCGGGACGGUGGGGGGAAGCUUGGCUCCUCUGAAUAUCUCAAAGUUUUGCACCAAAUUUGGUAGGUGGGUUAAGUCCAUGUCAAGUUAAUAACAUUUCGUGCCAAUUUCUGUACUAUGUAAUUAUUUUUCUGAUAUUGCUGAAAGGGUUGGGUCAUAUUUAGCCUGUUGUUGAAUGCAUAUGUUGUACAGAAUUGUUUAAAGAUGGAACUGAUUCAUCAAAAUAUUUGUCUUGCAUUAUGCAUACCUGCAAAUGUAUUUGAUGUACUCAUUUAAAUAAAAAAAUAAUUCCAACUGAAUCUUUUAAACACAUUGCUAACCAUAUUACCAUACUACCUAUAACUUUGACACCGUCAUUACAGUGCAACGCAAGCGUUAAUUUCUGUCUCGCUAUAAAUAACGACAAUUUUCUUUGAGCAAUUCAAAUUAAAGUCAAUAAUCAAAAAUCACACAGCACAUACACAAGCACACUGGCUGUUGGCCGCUCAGGUAAAGUUUCAUGUUGAUUAACUUUUUGAAUUCUUGUAGCCAACAUCUUCUUGGGCUGGUGUGCAAGCAUCUAAAACAUUUUCUUCAUAUUUGAUAUCUAACCAUCAAUAUAGACAACAUUGUUCAACAAGUUGUUGUAGAGUACUCUACAAUGUCAUUUCUUACAGUUCUUCUUAGGCUAUUGGAACUCAUACCUGAUGGAAGGCAGUGCUGGCACAACAAUACAAGUAUACAGGCACAGACACUCAUAGUAGACGUAAACCCUCAGAUCACUAAAAACAACCACAGUCCAUUAUCAUAAAUAACAAUUUCAUAAUUACGUAUACACAUCACAAAAGUUUGCAGUAUCCAAAUUCAGUUAAAAAAAGACCAAAUAAAUAAAUCUUUAGGAAACAGGCUCAAGUGUGCUCGGGUAUUACUUAAUACUUAUAUUUUAUAUUCCUUAAUUGAGUGUGUGUGUGUGUGUGUGUGUGUGUGUGUGUGUGUGUGUGUAUGUGUGGUGUCUUGUAGUGUUCAUGAUCUUUGGAAAUGUGCAAGAUAUGCAUCCGGUAUGUUAAGGUUUAUGACCAUAGCGCUGCACAUCGCACCCAGUAUGUUUUUGUAUGACGCAGGCUGAUGAAAGACUUCCUGUCAACAAUGACAGGAUGGAAACAAUACGGUGGUGGAGACAUAUGUGCAGGCAUGCUACUGUAUGGUGCCACUUGCACAACUCUUUUUUCUCUCUGUGACCUUUUACAUCACAGUGAGAAUAUAAGAGCCAAAGUCAUUCUAUGUUUACUACUAUAUUAAAUAGUCGGACUGAGAUGAAAUUUUACAAAUCAACUUAGUUGCAAACUAAAUACUUAUUACUUAUUAUCUUAUAUUUAAUAAAAAAGGGUUUCAAUAAUGAACAUAUGAGCAGCUAUUUCAUGAUGUUUUAAACGAAGGCAAGAUAUGCAUGAAGCGCCCCCAUGCCAUUGCUAUGGGCAUGAGUGACCAUUUAAUUAACUAACAGUUUACUGGGACGCACCUAAGUGCAAUUAAAUUAGCUGACCACACACUAUGUGUGGUAAUCUACACGAUUUAUGUUAUUUGUAUUGUAGUGUGUCAUAGUGUAUUUUAUGACAACACAUUCUCACUCCGAGCGCUUCGAUUUUUGACCCUCGGUCAGUGACUUUGGCUUCAGCUUCUGACGCAAAAGGGUACCCUUGUACUUCUUUUUUCAACUCAUUACAAUGUAAUCCCUCCAUGGCAAUAUAUGGAGCUAUGAGCAUUCAUCCCAUUGGCUAACGGGUGACCCGAUGGUUGCACAUAGAGACGCUAUGAGCAUUCAUCCCAUUGGCUAACGGAAGACCCGAUGGCUGCACAUUACAUUUACAGUGAAAUCUGUGACAUUACUCAACACAACUACACCAACGUGUCCUUGUUAAUUACACAACAUUUAUGGAUUAAGGCUAUGGACAUCAGUUGUCCUGUUUUGUGCUUUGAUUGAGAGAAACAAUAAUCUUUUGGAUCAGUGUUGGGUAUCUGAGGUCAUUGCUAUAGAGACCAAGUCCGUCCGCUUUGUUUGACAACUGACGGAGCAAUUAACCCUAUCUCAUCAAAAUUACGUUCCCAGAGAACUAUUCGGCAUUCUCAAUUGCGUUUGUCUGAAAAACGUAUUUUGUCCGUGCCACGUUUUAUUGAACAUAUCGCAAAUACGAAUUCGUUCUCAGCCUAUUUUUUGCCAUUUAUUUACCGUGUUACUAUGGCAGAAUAAAGAUUAAAUUCAUGCAUUAUCAUUCAACUUGAACAUGUGUUUUUACAGUAUAGAGUGGUGAAGGGAUGACGCAUGUUGGCCAACCCGGAAAUGAGCGUCGCCCUGGGUUCCCUUAACAACAAGCCAACGGGUUUUUCCAUUGGAUUUUGGAUGAUUGCAGAAAAUCUUGCAUUUUGGAAGCACCUCCUCAAAAACUGAAAAUAAAUAAAUAAAUAAAAUAACGGUGCUCCAAAUAUCGAAAUGUAAACCAAUGAAUUCUGAAUGGGAGUGUUUCUCUGAUUUUUCCAUGCUACACAGAAAGAAAUGUAAACCCAUGCAAAUAAAGGCUCCAAGGUCAUAAUAAUUUAAAUAUAAUUAAUCUCCUGAGUGUGUAGGCCGGUUAUGUAAUCAAUUUCAAUGGGGCUGCGUUCACGUCACCUGACUGUCAUGGUUGCUAUGGUGGUUGCUAUCGACUGCCCCCUCUAAUCCUUACAUGGCUGUAAAAACCAACCACGCGGCAAAGGAGCUGCCGUCAAUUGUGUUUUUUUUGUCGUAAACUAGGGUCCGAUGGUUAAAAAAUAG